rnacentral:rRNA from 1 species
AGCGAACGCUAGCGGCGGGCUUAACACAUGCAAGUCGAGCGGAGGGUUUCGGCCCUCAGCGGCGAACGGGUGAGUAACACGUAGGUAACGUACCUUUUGGUGGGGAAUAACCUAGGGAAACCUGGGCUAAUACCGCAUAUGCCCGUAAGGGUGAAAGUCUUCGGACGCCAGAAGAUCGGCCUGCGGCCCAUUAUUUAAUCCUAGUUGGUAGGGUAACGGCCUACCAAGGGUACGAUGGGUAGCUGGUCUGAGAGGAUGAUCAGCCACACUGGAACUGAGACACGGUCCAGACUCCUACGGGAGGCAGCAGUGGGGAAUAUUGGACAAUGGGCGCAAGCCUGAUCCAGCCACGCCGCGUGGGUGAUGAAGGCCUUCGGGUUGUAAAGCCCUGUCGGAGGGGACGAAGUCCGCAAGGAUUGACGGUACCUUCCAAGAAAGCACCGGCUAACUCCGUG